rfam:Bombyx mori DNA, contig: Bm_scaf30_contig19005, strain: p50T/Dazao, build 2, whole genome shotgun sequence.
UUAAGUCAAAUAUGUAUGGUGUUGGAACAGCAACCCUAGCGGCAAACGAAAGGAAACUGUUCCAACUGUAAACAAAUUUGAGUUA